rnacentral:rRNA from 1 species
UGGCGGCAUGCCUUACACAUGCAAGUCGAACGGCAGCACGGGAGCAAUCCUGGUGGCGAGUGGCGAACGGGUGAGUAAUAUAUCGGAACGUGCCCAGUCGUGGGGGAUAACGUAGCGAAAGCUACGCUAAUACCGCAUACGAUCUAUGGAUGAAANCGGGGGAUCGCAAGACCUCGCGCGAUUGGAGCGGCCGAUAUCAGAUUAGGUAGUUGGUGAGGUAAAGGCUCACCAAGCCGACGAUCUGUAGCUGGUCUGAGAGGACGACCAGCCACACUGGGACUGAGACACGGCCCAGACUCCUACGGGAGGCAGCAGUGGGGAAUUUUGGACAAUGGGCGCAAGCCUGAUCCAGCAAUGCCGCGUGCAGGAUGAAGGCCUUCGGGUUGUAAACUGCUUUUGUACGGAACGAAACGGUGAGCUCUAAUACAGUUUGCUAAUGACGGUACCGUAAGAAUAAGCACCGGCUAACUACGUG